CAGCUUGCUGCUUCGCUGACGAGUGGCGGACGGGUGAGUAAUGUCUGGGAAACUGCCUGAUGGAGGGGGAUAACUACUGGAAACGGUAGCUAAUACCGCAUAACGUCGCAAGACCAAAGAGGGGGACCUUCGGGCCUCUUGCCAUCAGAUGUGCCCAGAUGGGAUUAGCUAGUUGGUGGGGUAACGGCUCACCAAGGCGACGAUCCCUAGCUGGUCUGAGAGGAUGACCAGCCACACUGGAACUGAGACACGGUCCAGACUCCUACGGGAGGCAGCAGUGGGGAAUAUUGCACAAUGGGCGCAAGCCUGAUGCAGCCAUGCCGCGUGUAUGAAGAAGGCCUUCGGGUUGUAAAGUACUUUCAGCGGGGAGGAAGGUGCUGUGGUUAAUAACCGCAGCAAUUGACGUUACCCGCAGAAGAAGCACCGGCUAACUCCGUGCCAGCAGCCGCGGUAAUACGGAGGGUGCAAGCGUUAAUCGGAAUUACUGGGCGUAAAGCGCACGCAGGCGGUCUGUUAAGUCAGAUGUGAAAUCCCCGGGCUCAACCUGGGAACUGCAUCUGAUACUGGCAGGCUUGAGUCUCGUAGAGGGGGGUAGAAUUCCAGGUGUAGCGGUGAAAUGCGUAGAGAUCUGGAGGAAUACCGGUGGCGAAGGCGGCCCCCUGGACGAAGACUACCG
rnacentral:rRNA from 1 species